GGCCGUCGGCGGAGCGCUGGGCUCGCUGGGAGACGCACAGGACUCGAAGGAGAGCCGGCUAAGCUACGGCGGCGCCGGGAAGAAGCUCGUCCCGCACCGCGCUCACACACGCGCCGCCAUCUUAACUUCCAGCGGGCCCUUCUCCCUCCCUCCGUGCGCCGAGCCGGGCGGGGCGGGGCCGCGCCGCGCAGCCACGCUGCAACGCUCGCUCUGAGUGGCGGGCGCGCUGCUGGGCGGGGCCGUUCCACUAAAACUGCCGCCGAUAGGAGCGCGGCUCGCGCCGUGCGCGGUGACGUCAUGCGCGAGGGACGUAGUGGACCGCGUGAGGAGGAGCGGUGGGAGCCUGUCCCGCGCCUCAGGGAGCCCCGUGCGCCGCCCCUCCUUCUCCCCUCCCCCUCUUUUCCGCCUUCCUUCCGCCGCGCCUGACGGGCUCCCCACAGCUCCUGGGGGCGGGGUUCGCCGCCCUAGCGGCGGGCGAGGGGUUUCCCGGCCCGCUGCCGGCUCUGGGUCGCUUUCCGGAGCUGAGUGCCGGUCAUGUGAUUUGCGGCGGCGCGGCCCAGCCGCUCCGUGGUGCGGCCGCCCACCGCGCUGAGGAGACUGUGGCUGUGUGGGGCGGAGAGCUCCGUCCCAGCGCGCCGAGGUUGCGGAGCGGGGGGUGCUCGCAUAACACGUUGCCUUCUCAGCUUACUGGAAGUUGAGUAACAAAGUCAGCGAAACGGGCGCUUGUAGAAACCAGCACCUGGGCCGGGGCUGUUCCCGGCUCUGGCUUUUUCCUGUUUUUCCAGCUGCAGUUCGCUGGUUUUGCAGCUCAAGCGCGUUUAUUUUCAGGAGAGUGGCGACUGGGAGAAGCAGUUGGGAAUGUUUUGCCGUGGGAAGAGCCGUGCAGCCACGCGGCAGCGGUACAAAAUAACCGCGGCGCGGCUCCGCGGAUCUCAGCCCGUGUGCCGGGCAUCCCGAGCGAUCCCUUUGCGCUCCCGCUGCCGAAUCCGCGGGCGUUGGGGCCGUUGGAACUCGCCCCGUUCCAGCCCCUGCCCUCCUCCGGCACAGCCGCGUUCCGCCCGCCGCUGCUGCAGCCCGGCAGCUCGCUGAGCCGUUUGCCCAGUGCCACCAUCAUUAACGUGAGGCCGUGGGCCUGUACGUGCUGCCCAAACCAAGCUGUGUCUCCCUCCAGCUUCCCCAUAGCUGCUCUGUGUGCCUGCAGGGACGGGGCUGUGGCUUUCCUGCCCACAGGUGCUCCUCUGGGCAAAGCGCCAGAGGAAGAGGAGUGGCAUGGUGAGACUUCCAAAGAUGUGAGACAUGAGGUGUGGUGACGGAUGCUGUGAAAACCGUAAGCAGAGCAGGCUGGCCAUGGCUGAAGUCUCAGUGAACUUCUCAUGUGUGAGACUCCUGUGGUGCUGCAGCACUGGCAAAUCCCCUCCUGACAGCGUACAUCCUUGCUACAUCACCAGAGCCUGCCCAGCACAUUGCCCAUUCCUCCAUCUGUUGAGAUGACCUGGCACAGCUAAAAGCCCUUAGCGCACAAAAGCUGAGCCCUGGGAUCUGCACUCCUUCAAAGAAUGCAAUACAUUAAGAGAAACCGGGAAUGUCUGCUAGGCCUGAGGAUGCUCCUUUGAAGAAAGAUUCCCUUCAAAACACAGAGAUUCACUUCACAGCAAGGGAGGCACUCUGGAGGAGAUGUGCUGGUAUGCAGUAUGUGAAGUGCAGCUGUUACAGGAUUCUGCAUUCUGGUUUGUGUUGUCCCUUGACACAUAAAAAAAGAAAGAUCCAAAUCUUCAGUUUAACUUAAAAAAAA